rnacentral:lncRNA from 1 species
CAGGUCUGGCAGGAGCAGGUCAAGGAAGACGAGGAACAUCGGCGUUCAGAGGAGCGAGUAGUCCAGAGCACCUCCAGCGUGGGGUUCUGGAAGAGUGAAGGGAGGAGUCAGGUCAGGCAGGUGGGCCAGGCGAGCUCAUGGAGUCCCUCAAAGGCACUGGAGAGACAAAGAUUUUAAGCAAGGGAAUGACACAAUGGGUCCCCCCCCGCCGGAAAGAUCUGUCUGGAGUCAGUGAAAGGAUGGAGCAGAAGAAGGGCAAGAGUGGUGGGGUGAAGACCAGUUGGGAAAGUGUUGGCAACAAUCCAGGCUGGAAUGUACACGUGGUAGUGGUCAAGCCAAAUCAACCAUCUAGAUGAAGACAAUCUUCUAGUGUUGAUGGGAAGAAAUAAGACAAAAGGAACUCAGGUCCCUGGGUAUCUCCAUGAACCAGAACCACCCACUCACCUUGAACCCCACAUCUGCCGCCGAGCUGUUACAAGGGAGAAAAAUAAACUCUCUAUAAUUUGAGCCACUAAUUUUGAGUGGGGGAGGGACCUCUUACAACAAAUAAUCAUCUUUUUUAAAUUAGUAUAUUUAAAAAAUUAAGAUACUCAUAAAUUUUACUAGUCAGAGUAAAUCUACAUAAACUAACAAACGGACCAGUCUAUAUACUAGAAUAAUGAGAGGACUAUGGAUGAGAUUGAAUUCAGCACAUGGCAGAAAAUGUGUAGACAGUUUGGUGAUUUUAUUGUUUUAAAAGGGCCUAGCAUUAAAAACAUCCCCUAAUGGGUAAGGAUGGAGUUUUCUUUGAAGGGAGCUGAUGUUUCUGUUGUUAAUCAAAAUGGAUAAUGUUUCGUUUGUCAAGAACUUAGAUGACUUUUUGGAUGGAGAAAUGAGAUGUUUCCUUUUCCCCUUUCCCAUACAUGUAAGAGUUGAGUCUAGACUUGGAGACAGAGAGAAGUGUGCAGCUAUGCCAGCUGGAGAGCAGGUCUGGAGAGCUCAUCCUGGCCACACAAAGGUCUUGUGUUGGUGGCAGCAGUCAGUGGGAGCCCAUUUCCUCUGGAGCACCCUUCAGCCUCCCAGGAGCACUCCUAGUCCCAUCUCCACAAACAAGAGUGAGAGCAAUUAUUUAGAGGCGAGGAGGGCACAGUUCUCUCAUGCUUCAGAUUUGAGGAAUAGAGGAGUCACAGAUGACCGGGCAUGGUGGCAAGACCCAGCCAGAGUGGAAGAAUCUGAGAACUGAGUUCAGAGGCACAUGUAAUUCAGCACCCUGAGGAGCCUUCAGAAACCGCUGCAUCACCCUGGGGACUGAAUUCAGGGAACUGGGG